rnacentral:tRNA from 1 species
GGCCCCCUGGUCAAGCGGCUAAGACAUCGCCCUCUCACGGCGAAAACGGGAGUUCGAUUCUCCCGGGGGUCACCA